CCCUCUGCAGCAUCCGGAAGGAGUCGGAGAGAUGCUUGUGGCAGGGAACAGAGGACAAACGGGACAUUGAAGUGACAGCCCAGCAGAGCAAAUGAGGCCAAAGUAGCGGAGGAAGGUCCAUGUGGGGCUUCACCUGAGGGGACACUGGGUAGCCACCUGCCCUCCCUCCAGAGCAACCCGAGGGCUGAGGCUUGAGCAGUGCGGCACAGUGACUAAUUAUCCAACCCAGCUUCCCUCUAGGUCAGGCUGGCCUCAUCCCCGAGACCCUCACCAGACCCUACCCUGGUCCUAUUUGUGCCUGAGACAAUCUUUCGGAAAGCUCUGCUCUUGCGUUGGAGCCGCUCAUUCUGGAUCCUGAGCUCCUGACUCCCUGACUCAUUUGGGACAUGCCUCGGCCACUCCUGGAUUUGGUGCUUGUUCUCAGCUAUGCGGAUUUCUCCCACCCUGGUCCCCGUCACUGUUUAAGGAUGGUCACAAAAGCCCCGUUGCGGCAUCGUCCGGGUGACUCUCGUGAGGACGUGUACAAGGCACCCGGCCGGGAGGCCAGUGUCACCAGACACGCGCCCCCUUCUGCCUGGCUCCGCUGGCGGGCCUUCCCCAGCAGGGACGGCCCCUCCGGCCCCUUUGGUCAUCCAGUCCCCGGCCUGCGAUGUCCCCACUCCCUCAUCCUCGUCCACCUUCCUCAGCCUGCCUCGUGACAGGGCCUCUCCAAGUGUGACAAAGCUCUUGAAGCUGAGACGAGGGCCACCGGGGUGACUGAUGGCAGCUGAGAGGAUGGCGCUGUCCCCGCGGGUGUGCAGGUCCCCUUGCAUUUAGAGGGUGGCCUCCCCCCUUCCCCGCCACUGGCCAGGCGUGGCGUCAGCUCUGUGAUGGCCCCUUGGGAGCGGGGAGGAGGGAACAGCGCCACGCUCCUCGUCCCGCCGCUCCAAGGGAGUGGACCCAUCCCUGACGUGUGCCCACCGCCCAGCUGCAGCCACAUGGAGGGCAGCGGAGGAAUCCCCCGAUCCUGGAACGUCACAGCUGAAGGGAGCUGGUCUCUGUGGCUGUGAUGAAGCCUCCAGGGCCUUCCCUGCCCGCUGCCAGAGUCCCCUCUAGGUCUGAUCAGGCCAGGGCCACCUGGGUGGCUCAGUCAGCUAAGCGUCCGACUUUGGCUCAGGUCACCAUCUCAUGGUUCGUGAGUUCCAGCCUGGCACGGGCUUUCCGCUGUCAGCACAGAGCCCGCUUCGGAUCCUCUGUCCUCCUCUCUCUCAAAAUAAACAAACUUAACAACAACA
rnacentral:lncRNA from 1 species